rnacentral:lncRNA from 1 species
UUUUAUUUAGCCCCAAAUUUCCUUAGGUUUCCCCCAUUAGAUUUCCCCGAUUUCAUUUUCCCAAUUUCCCAAUUCCUUUUCCCCCCAAAUUCCCCGAUUUCAUUUUCCCCAAAUUCCCAACUGGACUAUCCAACGCCGCUGUCGUCACAAUCGUCUCCACUCCGGUGGUCACUCUAUCAUCCGCUUCCUCUAUUCACGGACUCUAUUCACGGUUAGUUUCGCUCAUCUUUAUUCACGGACUACAUUUUUGUUUCUAUGGUUAAUUUUUAAUUUGUUUCUAUGUUUAAUUUUUAAGCAUUACUUUCCUCUGUCGCCCGCUUCCUCUAUUCACGGACUCCAUUUUCAGGAAUUGAAGGUCAGUUUCGCUCAUCUCUGGAUUAAUUUAGUAAAGUUUGUCUCUUUUUUUCUUUGAUAUUUAAUUUUUUGGGUUUGCUUUGUAUAAUUUUUUCUUAUUGAAAUUAUCUGUUUCUGGAAAUGGGUUUAUUGUGAAGUUUUAGUCUUAUUAUUGUUGUUGUUAUUUGGGGGAGUAUGUCAAUAUUUCUGGAAUGAAUACGCUCUAGUUAGUUCAUUUUGUGAGAACUGAACUUGUUAAGUUAAUUUAUUUUAGUAAUCCAAUAAUUAGGGUUCAUUUUUAAGCAUUUUUUUUAGAAAUUAUUAAUGAUGUGUUCAAAAUGGGAAUUUGGAAGUCUAAUUUCAGAUAGUCUAAAAUGAUGUGUUUUAUAUCUGUAAGCACAAAAUAAAAAAGAUUUAAGUUAUGAAUUUGUUAUGAAUUGAUAUUAUUAGGUAGCCUUUCCCCCUUUAAAUAUUAUUUAAAUUUCUCAAUACAAUGGUGUAUAUCAACAGUAUUCAGGUCCCAAUAUCAUCAAGUAAGAUACCUAUUUCUCCUACAUAUGGUUUUCAAAAAUUUCAAUUUAUUAUUAAUUUCGUAAACUGCACAAGUAUAUAAGAGAUUUGAAUGUGAAACUGACAUUUAUCAGUCAAGAGUUCCAAGGUACUAAAUAAAGACAAGGUAGCCAGUGGUUGAAUACUUUACAAUAAUGCAUUUUGAAUGAAAUUGAAAAUAACCAAAUGCUUGAUUUGCAUAAUGCAAGGAAAUAAGUAGCAGACCUUCAUGUUUUGGUUAUUGAGAAUGGUUUAUUUUUCUAAUCAAGUUCAUAUUUGAAUUGUUUUCUCCUUUGUUUCCAAGGAAUUAUUUUCAUUUUUUUAGUUGACAAACAUCUUUUUGCUCUUUAUUAUUCAUUUCUUUUUUAAAAGUUCUUUUGAAAAUGAAAACAGAAAAUUGGUUUGGUUUUGUCAAUAAAAAAUAGCCUUAGUUUUUAGAGAGCAAGUAUUUUUUUGGUUUUCCUUUAAAAAGACUUUUAGUAACAAUUCUGAUUAUAAUUUCUUUGUUCUUAACCAACUAUUUUAUUCGGUACUGUCUUCCUUUUGUUGUUCUGUUAGUGGUUAAUGAUGGCACAUUCAUCCCUAGCUUUCUUAGUACAUAAAGUUUUAUGUAGUUCCAUCAUAUGCUGCAUAUACAUAGUAGUAUCUUUCUUGCUUUUACUGAGACCUUAUAACUCAUGAAUUUUGUUUGUAAAAGAAAGGAACCUUUCUGUUAAACAGAGUUAGUUGUCUAAAUGGUAUUGAUUUUUUCUCUUUUUCUUUUGAAAGAUGAAAUGUCUAUGGUGCAGGGGGAACCUUCAGCUAUGUAAUUGAUAGAAUUAUUAGCAGAAAAUUGGCUGGAUAAUGAUAAAAUACUCCCUUCCUCUUAAUCGCAUUAUUUACUGCAUAUAAAUGUAUUUAAUCUGUUUAAUGUGAAUAAAUUAUCGAUUUUAUAUUUGAUUAAUUAAAUCGAAUUUAGUUUGAUGUUAAUGAUUAAGAAUUUGUCUAUAUUCAAAUAAAUGAUCGAUUUAUCAAAUAUAGGCUAUUUAAUCUAUAUUAUUUUGCCAAAUAUAUUUUUUUCAUCCGCCAACUAAAAGUCUUAAAUUUUUUUAAAUUUACUUAUUUUAAAAAUAUAGACAAAUUAAUUAUAUUUUAACUUCUUCCCCGAGUAAUACAAGUAAAGCAAAAUCAAAAUUACUCAAUAAUAAAAAAUAAGAUAAAUUAUAUCCAUCACAAAAUUAUUAGUAAAAGCUACAAAAUGAUCUUUGAAUUAUUCGAAAAUUAAAACUUAUAUUUUAAAUUAAUAUAUAAUUUACAUAACUUACAUAACUUAAUAACUUACAUAAUACAUAAAUAUAUAUCAUAUCAGAACUUACAUAACUUACAUAAUUUAAUAACUUACAUAACUUAAUAACUUACAUAACUUACAUAACUUAUACAUAAUUUAAUAACUUUCAUAACUUAAUUAUACUUGUAAAUAAACACCCUACUCGUGUAAUUUAUUGUCAACUUUAGACUUCAAGAAUUAAGAAAUGGACCAGUCUUGGAUGAAUUUGUCAAGGGUAAGCGGCGACUAUCGAAAUGGAGUACAAACUUUUCUAAACUUUGCAUUUCAAAAUGCAAGCCAAGAGAAUAUGAUUCUUUGCCUGUGUAAGAAGUGUGGCAACAUCAAUUUGCAUUUUUGUGAAGUUGUCUAUGAGCAUCUAAUUGUUGAUGGGUUUAUUCGGGGGUAUAAAAAAUGGCUUUUCCAUGGAGAAUGCACACCUAGUACUUCCUAUUCAACGAUUAAUCCGGGUUAUCCUCGUAGUGCUUACCAUCAGUCUGUUAGAGAAGAUGACAUGGAAGGUAUGUUGCGGGAUGCAUUUAACAUGCGCAGUCAUGGUUUGCAAUCGUUUCCACCCGACUUUGUUGCAUCAGAUGAUUGUAAUCUUGGUGGAAAUGCUUUUAUUGAAACGGAAAGAAGUGUACCUGAUGAAGAGCCGAAUGGAGAAGUGGCAAAGUUCUACACACUACUUAAUGAAAUGAAUGAAGAACUUUAUGAGGGAUCAAAAAUUUCAAAAAUAUCCUUCUGUAUUCGUCUUUUUCAGUUAAAGUGUUUCGGAGGGUGGACCAGAAACUCUUUGACAAUGCUGUUAGAGUUUUUGAGAGAUAUGUUUUUGUUUGCAAAAAUCCGUCAUUCAUGCAAAUAUAUGAAGAAACUGAUAAAAUAUUUAGGCCUUGGGUACAACAAAAUUCAUAGUUUCCCAAAUGACUGCAUGUUGUAUUGGGCGAUCAGGAAAACCAACAAUGUUGUCAUGUAUGCGGUCAAUCCUGUUGGAUGAAUAAAAAUACAAAAUAUGGUAAUGAGGAUGAAAAUGAUACACAGUAAAGGAAAAAGCCAAUUAAGAUUUUACGGUAUUUUCUGCUAAUACCAAGGCUUCAAAGGCUUUUCAUUUCGUCGAAGGUAGCCGAUUCUAUGACGUGGCACCAUGAUGGACGAACUGAUGAUGGAUUGUUAAGUCAUCCUGCGGAUUCUUUAGCUUGGAAAUCAUUUGAUAGUAAAUUUCCAAGCUUUGCAAUCAAUCAUCAAAGUGUGAGGCUUGGGCUAACAUCUGAUGGAUUUAAUCCUUACAAAAUCAUGAGCACUGCGUACAGUACUUGGCCUGUAGUGCUUGUUCCUUACAAUUUGUUUCCAUGGAUAUGCAUGAAGAAAUCUUCCUUUAUCUUAUCUAUGAUUAUCCUCGGAGAGCAAGGUCCCAAAAAUGAUAUUGACAUUUAUUUUCAGCGACUUAUUGAAGAGUUAAAACAAUUAUAGGCUUGUGUUGAGACAUAUGAUGUACUAAGAAAGGAGAACUUUAAUUUACGUGCAGCUUUGAUGUGGACUAUUAAUGAUUUCCCAGCUUAUGCCAAUUUAUCUGGUUGGAGUACCAAGGGACGUUAUGCUUGUCCUUGUUGUGCUGAGGAAACAUGUUCGCAAUGGUUAUAUAAUGGGAAGAAGUUCUCUUACAUGGGGCAUCAUCGGUGGUUACCGGGAAAUCAUAGAUUUAGAUUUCAGAGUUCUUUGUUUGACGGUACUUAAGAGUUCAGAGAAGCUCCUUCGCAGACCGGUGGAUCUGAAAUCUUGUUCAUGUUGAAGGAUAUAAAUUUCAGUUAUGGGAAGAUGAAUCAACCACCCAACACGUAAAGAAAUAGAAGAUCAAGGGAUGAAUCUGGUGAAGAGGAUGAUCCUAAUGAGGCGGACUUAUGGAAAAAAAAAGUAUUUUUUUGAGUUGCAUUAUUAGGAGCAUCACAUUUUACGAAACAAUCAUGAUGUCAUGCACAUUGAGAAAAAUGUUUGCAAGAACAUCAUUGGGACAAUUUUGAAUGUCGAUGGAAAAUCAAAAGACAAUCUUCAGAGUCGACUUGAUUUAGUCCACGUGGGAAUUCGACGUGAUCUUCAUCCCCAAGCACUUUCGAAUGGGAAAUAUCGGUUGUCGCCUUCUAUUUUUUCAAUGUUGAAGACGAAGAAAGAAGUAUUCUGCAUGGUGUUGAAGGAUAUAAAGGUCCUGGAUGUGUAUGCAUCAAAUAUAUCUUAAUGUGUGAAUCUUAAAGAUCGAAGACUGUAUGCCUUAAAAUCACAUGACUAUCACAUAUUGAUGUAAGAUUUACUGCUAGUUGCUAUGCGGUGUUGUAUGUCUAAAAAGGUGACGUCUUGUAUAAUUGAACUAUCCAAUAUAAUGAAAGCCAUUUGUGGAAAAGUUUUGGAUGUUCAAGAACUUGAGACACUAUAAGAUCGAGCCCCAUUGACUUUAUGCAAUUUGGAGAAGAUCUUCCUACCUUCAUUCUUCACUAUUAUGGUACACUUGCUAAUCCAACUUCCUCAUGAAGCAAUACUUGGUGGACCCGUUUUCUAUCGAUGGAUGUAUCCCAUAGAAAUGUGUUAAUUUAUUUGUAAAUUAUUCAUUCAUUCACCACUAUGCCUUUAGUUACAACUUUUGAUAAUGUUGUAUAUCGUGUUUAGGUUCCUAUCCAAAUUGAAGUCUUAUUGCCGCAAUAAGCGUUAUCCAGAAGGCUCAAUUGCUGAAGGCUACUUGGCUGAGGAGUGUAUGACUUUCUGUUCUAGAUAUUUUGAAGAUGUUGAAACAAGAAUGAACAGACCAAGUAGAAAUGCUUGGCUCACUGAUCAUAACUUGGCCGAAACUUAUUUAUUUCAAAGUUAUGGAGAACCAAUCGACAAAGUUGAAAUUUUAGAAUUAGAUGAUAGAUCGUGGGUACAAGCACAUUGAUAUGUUCUUUUUCAUCACGAUUCAAUGGAACCAUUACGCAAGUAAGUUCUAGAAUUUGAUAAAUAUUCAUCAAUUAUAAUUUGUUUAUCUUCUAACAAAGUAAACCUCUUUUUAACAUAAAUUUUGAUUGUGUUCUCUAACCAGAAUUCGGCUCUUUACGGAUCAUCCUCAGCUGUAGCUCUAAAUUCCUUAGCCCUAUAUUUAUGAAUUUUAUCAAUUGGUGGCUUACUAACUCACAGUGGUUCCAGACCUUGAGGAACUACAGGGAUUGAUUGGGAACUAGGUGGUGGUGGAGGUUGUUGAGCUGCCAAUGCCAUUUGUACGAACUUGGUAAACCAUUCAUUCAUUAUAUGGAAGAAGGAUUCAUUACCUCUCUUCCUCAGCCCUCAGAUACGGGCCUAGUGCCACUUGACGUUGCUCAUGAAUGGAGACUUGCUCCUUGCUCUCAACUUUAUUGGUGUCAGGUUGGUUGGAUGUCAUAGCUAUAUGAAAGCAUAAUUUUAAAAUGAGUCAGGAGUUAUCACACUAUCACAAGUCAUAUAAUGACAUAUAUUUCUAGACUCGUACACGCUACGUUUAGCCUGAAAAUUGACUAAAUUGUAGCUCUGAUACCACUAAAUUUAACACAUUAGAAAUGGUUCAAGACUAAAUCGAAACCAUAUUAAAUUUCAUCGAAAAGAUAGAAUUUUUCACACUACAGGUGUAACAGCCCAAUUUUGACCCUAAUCAUAACAGUGAUUUUGAGACCACAAAUCUGAGUCCAAAAAAUAUUUUAAAAUUAUUUUCUAUGUUUAUUAUGUGUGAAUUUACUUGUAUGAAAUUUUCGUGCUUUAAUUUCGUCGUUUGAGUGUCCAAUUAAAUAAAAGGAUUAAAUCGCGUAAAAUAAAAAUUAGGUGGUUAUUUCUAAAAGGGAUGAAUAGUGGUUGUCUUUAUAAAAUGGAGGUUUUAUGUGGCAAUUAGGCCAUUUUACUGUUAGUGGACGGCAUUAGGUGAUAAUAUAUAGUUUUUAUAUUAUUAAUAUUAUUCAUAAAUGUUAUAAUAAUGUAUAUUAUAUUAUUAUGAUAUAAUAAAACAUUAUAAGCCAUUAUCACUUUUUUCCUUCAACUUUUAUCAUCGAAACUAAACAAAAGAAAAAGAAAGAAAAAAACCUAGCUACAUUCGGCCAUAUUGAAGUUUGAUUAAAGUUAGUUAUUUGUUCGAUUUUUGAUAAUUUUUAUGUUUUUGAGAUCGUUGCUUCGAGUACUAUCCGACCCAUGCUAGAAUUUUUGAUUUUGAUGAAUAUUUUAAGUUAUUCCAUUGAUGAAUAAUUGUGUUUUGUGAUGUUUGAUGAUGAAUUAUGAAAUAUAUGUUUUUUAUAUAAAUGUUCUGUAUUGAAAUUUUUGAUGAUUUUGAGUAAUUAGGGCUAAAUUGCAAAAAUAAUAAAUUGAGGGACUAAAAUGUGAAACAAAUGAAAUGCAUGGACUUGUAUGAAUACAAGGAAGAUUCGGCCUAACUAUGUUAUUGUGAGAUUUUGCGUAUUUUGUGUUUGGUGAAAUUUGGACUAAAAUGUAUAAAGUGUAAAAUGUCAGGGGCAAAAUUGUAAUUCACCCAUUUAUGUGUUUUUGGACUAAGUUGAAUGGAAUUAUAUUUAAAUUAUUUUAUUUGGAAUAAAUUUAGAUCAAGAACCAAAGAAAUAAGAGUUGGAUCGCAGAAAAACCAAAGUCAUUGAUUACUCAUCCUGUUCCGAUUUUCAUCAUCGUGUAUAAGAAAAUAAACUUCAUUAAAUUAGAGUGUAUAUGAAUUUUAUAUGUUGAAUUUUAUUGUAUGAAUUUUCAUAUUAAUAGUCAAAUGUAUAAAUGCUUGUGAGAUUUAACUGAGAUACGACGUUUGAAAAGCUUAGUAUGAACCUUAAAGAAUAAUUAGGAUUUCCUAUAUAUGAAUUAUGUGUAAGACCGACUUUGUAUUAGUGAUAUUCGGGCUCUGUCCCUAGCAGGCUUUAUGCCAGUGAAUUAUAGCAGGCUUUAUGCCUAGCAGGCUUCAUGCCGGUGUACCAUAUCAGCUUUAUACCUAGCAGGCUUCGUGCCGGUGUAUCAUAUCUGGCUUUGUGCCUAGAACGCUUUAUGCCAGUGUAUUUUAAUAAGCUUUAUACCUCACAGGCUUUAUGCUGAUGUGGUAUCGAAUGUGAUUAAUGAGUUAAAAUGAUCCGGUAUGUGAUGUUUAAUUACCUAUUUGAUAAUUAGGUAAGUAAGUUUCUUUGAUAUAUAACAAAAAUAAUACAUAAUAUUGUUAUAAGUAUAUGUGUGUUUAUGAAAAGUAUGUUCAACCUUAUGUUAAUUAUAGGUAUAUGAUUGGAAGCUCGUGUAUAAAUGAUUAGUCAUGACAAAAAUGAUUUGAGAUUUGUGAAUGUAUUAGUAAUGUUUAUAUAGGUUUAUAUUCGGCCUUGAUAAAUUGCUUAUGAAAUUAUAUGUUAUAUAUAUUUGCUUAAGGCUUACUAAGCUAAGGUAGCUUACUUUGUAUAUUUAAUUGUCAUUGUUUUUUUUAGAUUUUGGAGGUCGUUACGUGCUCGGGGAUUGUCACUGAAGUCAUUCAGAUUGUCGUCUGCUUUAAUUACUUUUAAAAGUUUUAUUUCGAACUUAUGGCAUGUAUAGGCUAAUAUGUAUUUUGGUCUGAUUUUGGACAUGUAUAUCAUAAGCCAUGUGAAAAUAGCUUGUUCAUUUUGUAAAUCUUGAAAUUUAUGCCUUUGCUUGAUGAUUUUGUAUGGUUAUGGUUGGUUGAUUAGGUUUCGAUAUAUAUAUAUCUUGUGUCUAGUAAUAUGUUAAAUUGGUUAAUGGUGUGUUUUGAUUAAAGAUUGGAUGUGAGUAGUGAAUAUACUUGGUUAAUAUUCG